rnacentral:rRNA from 1 species
AUUGAACGCUGGCGGCAGGCUUAAUACAUGCAAGUCGAGCGAGCGGCGGACGGGUGAGUAAUGUCUGGGAAACUGCCUGAUGGAGGGGGAUAACUACUGGAAACGGUAGCUAAUACCGCAUAACAUCAGUUGUGCCCAGAGGGGUUUAGCUAGGAGGUGGGGUAAUGGAUCACCUAGGCGACGAUCCCCAGCUGGUCUGAGAGGGUGACCGGCCACACUGGAACUGAGACACGGUCCAGACGCCUACGGGAGGCAGCAGGGGGGAAGUUUGCACAAUGGGCGAAAGGCUGAUGCAGCCAUGCCGCGUGUGUGAAGAAGGCCUUCGGGUUGUAAAGCACUUUCAGCGAGGAGGCGUUACUCGCAGAAGAAGCACCGGCUAACUCCGUGCCAGCAGCCGCGGUAAUUC